rnacentral:ncRNA from 2 species
AUCCUAUGCACGUUAUCUGGUGCCCGAUUUGCUGCUCUGCAAACCGGGUGAAACUGGGAAACAGGUGCGUUGACGAUUAAUCGAGCAACUAUUCCUGUGCUGCCCCCGCAACGGUAAUUACGUGCGGUUCAUUCAACAAGCCACUGUGCACAUGCAUGGGAAGGCGAAUGAACAAAACGUAUAAGCCCGGAGACCGGCCCGAUAGCUCACAAGCAG